CGAGACUCGGAGAUCUUCCUCACUCCCACCUCACCAGAUUUCAUCCUGCCCCACCAGCCCGUCGGACCCAUUGCCAAGCCACCCUGUCCACAUUUGCGACCUCAGUGGUGACUGACAUGCUGGGCUCUCAGCAGAAAGUCCAGCCCAACCACGGGGGUGUGGGGAACGGGUAGGAAAUCAGCUGGGGCAGUGGCGGUGCUGGAGGGGACGACGGAGGAAGGAGAAAUGGCAGCGGCAGCGGCAGCAACGCCCAGAGAUCUGGGUUGUCAGGGACCUGAGGAGAGGAAAGUAGGCACGCCCUCCCCACCUCCUCUCACCACUCCCAUUGGCCAUCCUGGCCUCUCCCUCACCCCUCCAAGAGCCCAGCGCCCUGGAGUGGAAGCCAGCGCUCCAACCGCGCGUGUGGCAACGAGCGCCUAUGGCCUCACAACGAGCCACGCGGUUGCUAAACGACGGGUCCAUCUGGCUCGGAGAGAGUGGGCACACCCUCUGCCGCUGGCCAGGUGCUUGUGCAGGCGCAUGCUGUGGCCUGCGUACAUCAGUGCGACCUGCAGAUGAAUGAUUGAAAGGAUGAAUGGAGAAGGACGUAAGGAAAGAAGCAAGGAUGGAUGGUUCCGGCUUGGAAGAUGGAGCUGGCCGGAUAGGGCCAGGCUGACCAAGUGGAUCAGGAGCCUAGCACUGACAUCCCUUCCUCAGGUCAUCUUUGAAGGUGCCCCUCACCUGGCCAAGGCUUCGGACCAGCAGUUGGAAGAACCGCCCCUUCCAUCCCAAGAGACACCUUUGCAAACCCAAGAACGCCGGAAGACCUUAUCGGGAACUCUUUGGACACUCGCAGGGAAGGGGCCCAAAGAGCUCCAAGAAGGUGCUAUGGCGCCAUGCUCCCCCAGCCCCCUUCCCCAGCGCUCAGACUUGAUCUUACCAUGGUGCCAUGAUCAGGAAGAGGAAUAUCAUUUUGGGACAAGUGGACAGACUCAUCCGCGUACUGGAUGGCAAAUUCACGAUUGAUUCACUUGCAGUUUAGCUCUUUGUUUUGUCCUUCCAACACUCCACGUCCCUGCUUCCAGUCUUUCGACUGGGAAGGAGGUCCCUGGGUUGGGGCGGGGGGGGGUGCGUGUCGGUGGAAGGUCUUCGUGUUGGGGAGCAUUCCUUCGAAGGGGCUCUCUCUGCAUUUUUCUUUCAACUCACCCUCUCUGUACAUGUCUCAGACCUUGAGGUAGCGAUCAGCACAUUUCCUCUUCCAAUCUCAGAUGGGAUAUUCUUGGUGGUGAUGCCUGCGGGGGUGGUUCUUGUGGCCCAAAGGAUGGCUUGGGGUCCCUGUCAGUCUUGGAAUCUCGAAAUACUGCCUCAGAAACACUCAGGCUCUCUCUCCAUCUUUCCUUCCUGGACCCCAAAUCCAUACAUGCCCAUCUUGAUGUUUCUGCUCUCUGUGCUUGCUCCAUGAUUCUCUCCUCCUCCUCGAGGCCGCACGUGUUGUCCGGCACAGGGUUCCCACUCCCUUCAGCUGUGUCUAAUCUCCUCUGAAAUCCUUCUGCUCGGGUCCUUGCAUCCUUCUUUGGAAUCGAGGUUGGGCCCUGUCUGCCAAAACCAGACUGGGGAGGAGAUCAAGGUGAUCCCUCUGCCACCUGGUUCCCCCAAGGCCUCAUUUCUCCUGCCAAAAAGAAGCAUGGUCUCACAGCACAACUUGGACCUUCAAACUCCAGGGGGAGGAAAACCCUUGUCAAGCCAGAAGGUUGAGAAUGACCCGCCAAAGGAGUUUGCCACACAAGGCAGGCCCCACAGGCCACAAGAACCCACCGGGCAGGCUCUUCCAUCAGCAAGUCCCACCCUCUUCUCUGGAGUCAGGACACCCAUGUUUCCCUGCUGCGUAGGGCACUCGUUUGUGAGAAAUCGGCAACUAGGCACUAAGAAAGGCCCUCCCCUGGCCCUCUCCCUGAGUGCACGGAUGCGAGGCAGACAGAGGCGAGCACCACAUGGCUUGCUGCUCUGUCCAAAGGAGGCUGGCCGUGGCUGCCACCUGGGCCAAGACUCUCAGCAGGACAACUCUGGAGGAAAGAGCCGUGAGGACUGAGAGUUUUCUG
ensembl:lncRNA